rnacentral:rRNA from 1 species
UGAAGCUGGAUUCGCUAGUAAUCGCGCAUCAGCCACGGCGCGGUGAAUACGUUCCCGGGCCUUGUACACACCGCCCGUCAAGCCAUGGGAGCCGGGGGUGCCUGAAGGCCGUGACCGCGAGGAGCGGCCUAGGGUAAAACUGGUGACUGGGGCUAAGUCGUAACAAGGUAGC